AACCACCACCUCAAGUGGUCAGGAUGAUUAUUGGGCCUAAAGCAUCCGUAGCCGGCACUAUAAGUUUUCGGUUAAAUCUGUACGCUCAACGUACAGGCUGCCGGGAAUACUGUAGCGCUAGGGAGUGGGAGAGGUAGACGGUACUCGGUGGGAAGGGGUAAAAUCCUUUGAUCUAUUGAUGACCACCUGUGGCGAAGGCGGUCUACCAGAACACGUCCGACGGUGAGGGAUGAAAGCUGGGGGAGCAAACCGGAUUAGAUACCCGGGUAGUCCCAGCUGUAAACUAUGCAAACUCAGUGAUGCAUUGGCUUGUGGCCAAUGCAGUGCUGCAGGGAAGCCGUUAAGUUUGCCGCCUGGGAAUACGUACGCAAGUAUGAAACUUAAAGGAAUUGGCGGGGAGCACCACAAGGGGUGAAGCCUGCGGUUC
rnacentral:rRNA from 1 species